rnacentral:lncRNA from 1 species
GGUGGGUGAGAAGUUCCCAUCACACUGUUUUGAGCAUCACCACUGUACUUUCUGCUGUUGCUUGUCCCUUGUAGCUUGCUUUGUGCUUUCACAAGGUCACACUAUCUUCUGACUCAAAAAGGAGGCUGCUUUAUUCAGCUGCUUAUGAUAGUGUUUUCAUUGAUUUUUGUUCAAUAUUUCCACCAAAUAUGGCUGUGUUCUUCACACCUCUCAUUAAAGUUCUGACAAUUUGAAUUCUUUUCUUCAAAUAAUGCUUCUGUAGAGAUAAAUGGAAAGUUGUUUGGCAGGGGUGGCUUGGUUAGUUUCUAAUAUGUUCCUAGUUUUCAGAGGUGACACUAACUCACACCAUUGUGAUCAGCUGAUAUGGAGUCUUCAUAACUUGAGGAGGACAUUUAGCAUCUGUUCUGA